rnacentral:misc_RNA from 1 species
CAACCCUCAAGCCCCUCCGGGCGUGGCGUUGGGGAUCGGCCCCGCUACGGCGGCCGGCCCUGAAAUGUAGUGGCGGUCUCGCCGCUGCCUCCUCUGCGUAGUAGAAACACCUCGCAUUGGGACGCGGCGCGGCCACGCCGUUAACCAGAUGAAUUUCUUCAGGG